UACACAGAUGUGCUUCAUGUUUAACUGC
rnacentral:piRNA from 1 species